CUUCCUAUUAAACAUGCUGGCAUACAGCCACAAUUCUUCAGAGAAGCAGGACCUGAAAGGAAAUUGUGGAUUUAUUCUUAAGGGUUUGCACUACCAAACCUUUGGCCAAGUUCUUAACAAAACCGGAAUUUCCUUGUAUAUAAGGAAGGCUCCAGUCCCUCCUGUACUCUCCAGAUUCUAAGAAUUUUUGAGGACUUAUCUAGAGGAGAAACGAGCCAGAAGAUCCCAUGAGGACAAGGCUACUCAGAGCAAUCAAACAUGCUGUGUUAGUCCUUCUAAUAAGAUUAACUUCUUGGUCUCUGUAGUAGCUCCAGCCUUGCAGAUGGCAGAGUGGACUUGGCUGCAGAGGAGUGAGGCCUCCACUUCUGUUCACCCAUGAAGUGCCGGCCAAAGAGGGGAGCCAUGCAGACCUGGGUCUCCUCGCUGAAGACUGGGCUGGCGUAGCUGAAGAUGCAGAUACACAUGUCUGGAAGGAUAACUGGGAUGAUGACAAUGUGAAGAACACUGCUCUACUCAGUAGUGAGCUGCACUGGACAAACACAGUCAGGAGAUGGAGACCUCAUAACCUCUAGAAGUGUUGAAAUAAUCUAAACCUCAACUGAGGAUGGAGAACCCAGGAUGGAAUACAGAAAAAAUAUUUCAUUAUCUACCUGGAUUUAUUUCUUCAUUUUUUAGCACACACACC